ensembl:snRNA U6 U6 spliceosomal RNA
GUGCUCCCUUCGUCAGCACAUAUACUAAAAUUGGAAGGAUACAGAGAAGAUUAGCAUGGCCCAAGUGCAAGGAUGACGCACAGAUUCAUGAAGCAUUCCAUACUAAG